UACGGGGGGGGCAAGCGUUGUUCGGAAUUACUGGGCGUAAAGGGUUCGUAGGUGGCCGACUAAGUCAGACGUGAAAUCCCCAGGCUCAACUUGGGAACUGCGUCUGAUACUGGAUGGCUUGAAUUCGGGAGAGGGAUGCAGAAUUCCAGGUGUAGCGGUGAAAUGCGUAGAUAUCUGGAGGAAUACCGGUGGCGAAGGCGGCAUCCUGGACCGAUAUUGACACUGAGGAGCGAAAGCCAGGGGAGCAAACGGG
rnacentral:rRNA from 1 species